rnacentral:rRNA from 1 species
CGAUGUCCGAAUGGGGAAACCCAGUGUGUUCCGACACACUAUCGUUAACUGAAUACAUAGGUUAACGAGGCGAACCGGGGGAACUGAAACAUCUAAGUACCCCGAGGAAAAGAAAUCAACCGAGAUUCCCCCAGUAGCGGCGAGCGAACGGGGAGCAGCCCGGAGUCUGAAUCAGCUUGUGUGUUAGUGGAACGGUCUGGAAAGUCCGACGGUACAGGGUGAUAGUCCCGUACACGAAAAUGCACAGGUUGUGAACUCGAAGAGUAGGGCGGGACACGUGGUAUCCUGUCUGAAUAUGGGGGGACCAUCCUCCAAGGCUAAAUACUCCUGACUGACCGAUAGUGAACCAGUACCGUGAGGGAAAGGCGAAAAGAACCCCGGCGAGGGGAGUGAAAAAGAACCUGAAACCGUGUACGUACAAGCAGUGGGAGCACCUUCGGGUGUGACUGCGUACCUUUUGUAUAAUGGGUCAGCGACUUAUAUUCUGUAGCAAGGUUAACCGUAUAGGGGAGCCGAAGGGAAACCGAGUCUUAACUGGGCGUUAAGUUGCAGGGUAUAGACCCGAAACCCGGUGAUCUAGCCAUGGGCAGGUUGAAGGUUGGGUAACACUAACUGGAGGACCGAACCGACUAAUGUUGAAAAAUUAGCGGAUGACCUGUGGCUGGGGGUGAAAGGCCAAUCAAACCGGGAGAUAGCUGGUUCUCCCCGAAAGCUAUUUAGGUAGCGCCUCGUGAACUCAUCUUCGGGGGUAGAGCACUGUUUCGGCUAGGGGGCCAUCCCGGCUUACCAACCCGAUGCAAACUACGAAUACCGAAGAAUGUUAUCACGGGAGACACACGGCGGGUGCUAACGUCCGUCGUGAAGAGGGAAACAACCCAGACCGCCAGCUAAGGUCCCAAAGUCAUGGUUAAGUGGGAAACGAUGUGGGAAGGCACAGACAGCCAGGAUGUUGGCUUAGAAGCAGCCAUCAUU